UUCACCAGAGCCAGAGGGGGGAGCAGAGCAGGCAGAAGGACUGAAGUACACUGCUGAGGGGAGCAGCGGGUGGCAGGAGAGGUCUGCGCACCAUGUGGGACCCUCCUCUGGUGGCCGGGGAGCAGCCGGGGAUCGAACCGGCGCCGCAGAGGCCGCGGGCAGCUUCGCAACCCAGCGCUCAACCGCUGCACCACCGGGGAGGCCCUAGUGAAGUACUUUUUUAAAAAGAUUUUUACUAAAUGAUGUUCCCUCUUAGAACUGGACAUAUGAAAUAAAAAUGAUUGACAUCUAAUAAGUUAAGAAAGCAAACAUUUGGAUUUUUUUUAUGGAAAAUGAUUUCUUUUAAAAAAAGUCAAGACAGAUAUUUGGGAUAACCAAUGAGAUUGCUUUUGCUAGGGAGGAAUGAAGUGGCUCCACAGCCCUGGGGAAGUUCAGGUGCACUUGGCUGACACAUCCUCCCAGAGGGUGCCCAGGGUAGGCGAGAGAACAAUGCCCUUCCCAGCUGAUUAGCCCCGGCCUGCGCCCAGCAUCUGGGGCCAGACUGCUCAGGUGAGGCUGUAGAAGUCAAGUGAACACCCGCCGAGGAGAGGAGAGGAGAGGAGUACUGGAGCACAGCAGCCCGCAGAGCAGACAAAGCCCCAUCCUUCCGUGUGGCAGGGUCUUGGAGAGGUGGGCGCCACCCAGGCACAGCCACUGACGAGAGGCUCAGGGGCACGGGCUGUUGGGGUCUAGGGCUCUUUCUGCCUGGUCUAAGGUGCGCCAGGGCCCCGCUGACUUCUCUGCUGUGGCUGUCACACAGAGGGGACGGUGGCCACGGGACCGGGCGGCGAGCACGCUGGCCUUGGCAUUCACAGAUGGAGCUUCCGUUCCCAAGGGGCCCUUUAGCUCUUCAGUGACCUGGGACAAGCCUCUAACCUCUGCAUUUAUUAGCAAAAUGUGGACUCCACUCCCGACUCUUCUAGAGCUCAGCAUUGUCCUGAGAAUUCUGUGAUGUGGCCAGCGUGUGCAAGGCCGUGUCAAACUCAGUGCCAUGGAGUGGGAGGGUUCCAGUCCCGUAAGCAGGGCCAGGUCUCCAGAGUGGGGCGAGGGAGAGCUCUCGCUGCUGAGGUUCCUCAGCGCUGAACUAACCCGAGGGUACUUCCUCGAGCACAAUGAGGCCAAGUACACAGAAAGAAGAGAGCGCGUGUACACUUGUAUGCGAAUACCCAGGGAAUUGGAAAAGAAAGUCCUCAUAUUAAAAACAAAAAUGGCAGUCACUUUAAAAAGAAAGGGAAUUCAUUUCACCUUCAUCACAGAAGGCAGCACGGCCCGGGGCGAGCCUAGUGACUGCAGCACCAGCUCUACAUGCCACUCCCUCCCUUGCUGUCUCAGGCCCACGCCAGUCAGAUAGCAUUGCUUGGGCUACCGGUGAGUCUGAGCAAUUCCAGAUUUCUUCUAUCGGGACAUGUCAUACUUUUGUAGUAGCAUAAAACUUGGAAUAUUCUGAUCCCUUUCUUAGAAUCCAUACUCUCUGUGACUGGGGUGGGAAGAGCUUGCUGGGUGGCGGGCAGUGAGCAGAGAGGGCCCGCUGGCUUGCUGACGUGUUUAUUCCUGAUAGUUCUUCUGUUUGGUAAAAGGAGGAAUCAGCUACGGUGGAAAGGGCAGUGCGAGGAAGGUGGCUUCACCUGGUCUUCGGGCAUGUCCCAUGCUGAAGCUUAGGAAGUUCUGUGCCAGGUGGGGCUUUGGAGAGCUGGAGCCAGCAGGAGCAGACGGGCAGUGAAGCCGUCAGCUUUGGUCGGGGUGGUAAAAUGUGCUUAGUGACUGCUGCUCUUCUGGAAGCCCUGGGGC